rnacentral:rRNA from 1 species
AUUGAACGCUGGCGGCAGGCCUAACACAUGCAAGUAGAACGAGUGGCGGACGGGUGAGUACUGUCUGGGAAACUGCCUGAAAGAGGGGGAUAACGACUGGAAACGGUAGCUAAUACCGCAUACCAUCAGAUGUGCCCAGAUGGGAUUAGCUAGUUGGUGGGGUAACGGCUCACCAAGGCGACGAUCCCUAGCCGGUCUGAGAGGCUGACCAGCCAGACUGGAACUGAGACACGGUCCAGACUCCUACGGUAGGCAGCAGUGGGAAAUUGUGCACAAUGGGCGCAAGCCUGAUGCAGCCAUGCCGCGUGUAUGAAGAAGGCCUUCGGGUUGUAAAGUACUUUCAGCGGGGAGGCGUUACCCGCAGAAGAAGCACCGGCUAACUCCGUGCCAGCAGCCGCGGUAAUUC